AGUCUCUCAGAGCUUUCGCCACUUGACUGCUUGCGUCUGUCGUCACAGAUCGAAUAUUCAAAACGCGUCGCUUCAGGACACUGUUCAGCUUUUGGUCGUAGCUUGUAAGGCAAGGUAGUCCCUGAAGAAGAAGCGUGAAGUACGUCAACAGCCUCUUCAGCAGAAAGACGCUCCGUUGCAGGUACUGAUGGAACAGCGAUAUCUUCAGUGGGACUAGAUAUGCGAGGUGACCAGGUUUCGGACAGUGGUUAACUCCUGCUUGUGUACGAGAUUGGCCGAGACUAAAAAAACUGUAUAUUGCCACCUAUAGU